ensembl:lncRNA
AUGAAGGGAUCUCCUGCUGUUCCCUGUGUCUCCCUUUGCUUCACAGUCAGAUCUGACUCUUCAGAGUCGCUGAGUCCGGAUAGAGGCAUAUUCUGUGUGAGCCGGAGCCUUGAAAGUGAUCUCGGCAUAGUGCAGAUCCUUGCUCGCGUUACCACCAGCUCUGCUGCGCCCCUGUUGAAGACACAAAUCAAGUCACCCAGGCUCCAUCUCCUGCUGGCGUCUUUCCAGCCCCUCACAUGGACCACGCGUCAACGCUGUCUUGAAACGGACAAUGCCACCCAGUUAAACUCAGGCUCCAAUUUUAAUGGUCUCACCUUUGCCGGCUGCUGCUGUUGGGUGUCUGGGGAGGCUGCUGGGGAGGAGAGAAGGAGGCCUGGGUUAUUGUUGGAAGAGAUGAAUGGAGGUGUAGGAACUGAACACAGGACUGGAGAAGGUAGAUUGGAGGCUCCCAUUCCCCCUUGCACCAGGAGGACGGAAGAGAAGUACAUUUUGAACAGCGGAAGAACGGGCAGGUGGAGUGAGCGUGGAAGGAGGAGUAAAUACCUGUGCGUCUGCGCAGCAGGAGGGCGGUAACUAAGAUGAUGAUGCUGACACCUGCCAGAGCAGUCGUGGCUCUGUAGAUGGUGAGUUCUGUGCUGGUGUCCUGCUUCGAUUCCUUUCUAUUGUCUAAAUAAAAGGAAGGAGGUUAAUGUUUCCUGUGACAAGAAUCUCUCCUGGGAAGAGCCACAGGAAGCCAUUUCUGGUGUAUUUUGUUGUAGCACUGGAUUCUGAUCUCAUUGGUACCGUACCGGUGUGAAUGCAGAGUGACUCCGCUGAUGCUAAUGGAGUCAGGGCUGGAUUCCGAUGUCACUAGCCCUGGUGUGAAUCCGGAGUGUCUCCAUUGACACCAAUGGAAUCAGGGCUGGAUUCUGAUCUGAGCUCCCAAAGUGAAUCUGGAGUAACUCCAUUGCAGUGAAUGGAAUCCAGUCUGUAUUCUGGUCUCCAUUACCCAGUGUGAAUCCAGAGCGACCCCACGGAUGUUAGCGGAGUCAGGGCUGGAUUCUGAUCCCUCUGAGUCCAAUGUAAAUCUGGACUGACACCACUGAUGCCAAAAGAAUGAGGGCCGAAUACUGAUCUCAGUGAUUCUGGUGUGAAUCCAGAGUGAGCCCACCGACACCAAUGGAGUCAGUCCGGAUUCUGAUCUCAGUGAAUCUGGAGUGACCCAGUGACAUCUGUGGAGUUGCUCCCAAAUGGAGGCGGGUCCGCUUCGGUUGGCGCAGUGUGUUAGUGGCCAACUGUCCUCGGGUCUGGGCUAAUGGCCGGCAACCUCCAUUCAUACAUGGGACCAACGGGAGAGAAUCCCAAGUGACUGGUACAGCAGAGAGUGUGAUGGGGCCAUGUAGGUCACGGGGCCGUUCUGGUCUCUCUCUGGGACUCUGGCUAUGGGGCUGUGGGUGGCUGAUUUCUGGGCCUGUGUGUGCCUCUCUGUGUCUCUGGCUCUGGGGUUCUGUUUCCCUCACUCACUCCUGCAUUAAACAACUAACUUCCUCUCCAACAAACACUGCAAGAAAACUCCCCCAGUCUCCACCGGCGCCUAUUACAAAGCCCUUCGCAGGUGCCAGCAUGAGUCUGAUCUUCCCGCAGUGAGUCAGCAGGGCCGCGUCAUAACCUCACCUUUAGCAGGCCAAAGAGCUCCGAGCCAACCCGGGCCAAUAGCGAGAGAAGAGAGAGAGAGAGAGACGUCUCUGGGCGCACCGUGGCUCUCGGGAGAAGUGGGGGUCUGGCUUUCUAACCACCGCUCUCACCCCAAGGUACUGACAGGAUGUGAGACAGGCCAGAGCUGCAGCCAGCAACAACUUGGCAGAAAAGCCGCCUCGAGUCGGCCAGGAGAUUGUAUAAUAUAAACCUGACAGCCCCCACAGCAUGAGCAUCACUCAGAUAUUCCUGAUCUCCACUCCUCCUUGGAGCCAGACCCAUCUCCCAUUCCCUGCUCCCAGAGCCAGCCCGUCCCUGACCUUGGGGCCCGACUGGCGCCAGUGCCUCCUAUAGGGGAUGGGUCCCGGAUACCCCCCCUCCCCCCAACUCCUACCAGUCACACUCUGGUUUCUCCUCAACACUCUUAGAUCUGUGCCUUCUCCCAUCCCUGUUGUCUCAUUCUGGAUUUCGAUGCAGCACUGAUAGAGGCCAGAGUCUCUCUUGUCCAGUUUACCCAGGGUCAGUGUCGCGUUCCCCUUACUGAUCUCAACCAGCCUGGACACAUGGAGCCGCCCCUGGUAGAAGGGGUGCUUAGCAUCCAGCACCACGUCUUCUCCAGAGCCCCUGAACCAAAGCACCUUGGCUCUGCUGCCAUUUCUGUUCUGGAAGGUGCAGCUUAGGGUCACGUUCUCCCCGACUGUUGCGUUGAGGGACUUGGGCUCCUGAGAAACUCUUAGACCAUCUAGGGAAGAGAGAGAACCCGCAUCAUACACUGGGCAGCACCGUGUGGCAGGAGAGACCUGUCCUGGCCUUUAGAGAGAACAGCAUCCGCUGUGUUCCUGUGUGUAGAGCUAAACCUUCACCGCUCGCUAGUUUAGUAAUAGUGUCUGUCUCUCUGUUCCCUGAUUCUCCAUCUUCAUCCAUCCUCCGACCUUAGAUCCAUCCAUCCAUUAUCCAUCCUGGCUCUAUCCAUCUAUAGACCCAUCUAGCCAUUCUCCAGUCUAGAGCCGUCCAUCCAACCUUUCAUUCCUAGACCCAUGCCCCUCAAUUCACAUCUGCUCUCCAUUUGUGUUCCUCGUUCCCUAGAUCAACACUGAUUUAGCUGUCUCCAGGGAAGAUCUGCAAUCCUAGAUGCUGGAUAAAUCCAGUGAUGUGUUCACCUUAUCAAGAACGAUAUCCCAGAAUUGCGCAGGAAACUCACCCUGUUUCUGGCCGAAUGCUCCCACAUUUGGGUUCGGCGCCCUCUUGCAACCAGCUGGAAUUUCUGCAACAGCUUAAUUUGAAUGAAAAAACAGGAGUCAGUGGGUGAGGUUCUGUAGCUAUGUGCAGGAGGUCAGAGUAGGGAAUUGUGAAGGUACCUUUUGGCUUUAAAGUCCAGGAGAACAGUUUUGUGCAUUUCUGAUGUCCGCCACCUUGGCUAACGUGCUGCGGAUUGAACUGGGGACCUCAACAUCUAAAAGCACAAGUUGCUACAGCUUGAGCUAGAAGAGCUGGGGGCUGUAACAAGUUGUAUUCUGGGUAGAUCAGCACAGAACGGGAUCUCCUAACUCACACUCUUUGGUCCUGAGACAUUCAGUAAGGAAAUGAACGAUCCAGUCUGCACAGAAGCCCUGGGCUGGCUAAUCCGAUAUUAAAUCCAGUCUAGUUUACCCUGCUCCACAUUUUCUG